UUGCUCACUUUUGUGGCACAUAUACUAAACUUAGAGCAAUACAGAGAUUAGCAUGGCUCCUUGCAAGGAUGACAUGGAAAUUUGUUAACCAUUCUAUGUUUUU